UACGUAGGGUGCGAGCGUUAAUCGGAAUUACUGGGCGUAAAGGGUGCGCAGGCGGUUCUGUAAGACCGGUGUGAAAUCCCCGGGCUCAACCUGGGAAUUGCGCUGGUGACUGCAGGGCUAGAGUACGGUAGAGGGGGGUGGAAUUCCUGGUGUAGCAGUGAAAUGCGUAGAGAUCAGGAGGAACACCGAUGGCGAAGGCAGCCCCCUGGGCCUGUACUGACGCUCAUGCACGAAAGCGUGGGGAGCAAACAGG
rnacentral:rRNA from 2 species